UGACAUUGAGCGGUGACGGUUUUGUCGAGAUGUGCUGAUGGAUGACAGGGCUGCCGGAUGGUGUCCCUAUGGGAGGGCAUGGUGAGGCCUGAGAAAAGGCCUUGGGACACCACAGCUCCCCCUGAGUCCCAGACCCCCAUGUCCUGCCUUUUCUUUGCCUCAGCAUGGAGCUCAAAGCGUCAUCCUGCACACACAGCUCUGUGAGUGAUCACCAACUUGACUUUAGUCCUGCG
rnacentral:lncRNA from 1 species